rnacentral:rRNA from 1 species
UACGUAGGGGGCAAGCGUUGUCCGGAAUCAUUGGGCGUAAAGAGCUCGUAGGUGGUUUGUCGCGUUGUCCGUGAAAACUCACAGCUCAACUGUGGGCGUGCGGGCGAUACGGGCAGACUGGAGUACUGCAGGGGAGACUGGAAUUCCUGGUGUAGCGGUGGAAUGCGCAGAUAUCAGGAGGAACACCGGUGGCGAAGGCGGUUCUCUGGGCAUUACCUGACGCUGAGGAGCGAAAGUGUGGGGAGCGAACAGG